UGGGUCCUGAAGAGAGUGGCCGUGCUUGGCUUGCAGAGCAGCUGCAGAUGGGCCAUGUCAGUUUGCAUCAAUAAAACGGAGGAGUCGACACAUUAGGGUGUAAGGGAGGGAGGGGUCACGGAGGCAAAGUGAUGUUUCACUGGGAAGAGAGGUUGGUCCCCCUAGACCUGGCAGAACUUCUUAUAUGACCUUUGCUUGCGAUGCUGCCACUGCGAGGGAGUUGAAGGCUUUGUUCAAAGACUAAUUCUCUCCAAAGUUUCAGAACAGACAAACCAGGAAUCAGUGUGAUCAAAACACAAUGAAGACAAAAGACUGGUUUCUUAUGGGUAUCUAGUUUUUAUUUUAUUAGGAAAUUUGGACAACAUUAUGGGAUAACUAAGAACACAAAAGGGAAAAAAGAAAACCAUGCCUGCAGGCAGGGAAAAGUAGAUCAAGGAAGGAGCCGCAUGGUGCUAUUCAGCUGGAUGUAUUCACAUCCACCAAACCAAACAUUAGGAAUCAAGAUUUCGUUCGGCUGAGUUUACUGAUGUGCACAAUCACUCAGGUACUGGGCUGCACACAGAAUUUUUCCAUUAGAUGUUUCCUUUUUAGAUGGGAAACUUUCCAGAUGAAGGGAUUUGUGGUACCAAAGAAAGCCAGGAAGAGGGUCCAGGACCAUAAAGUAGAGGAAAAACGGGUGAGAAGGUGGGAAAUCUUACCAACAGGAUGGGUACCAGCAGCACCCGAAGAGCAGCCCGUCUAGUGGCAGCACUGCUUGUGGCAGCUGCACUUCUGCUGGCAACAGCCCUUCCCACCGCCGCAGCCACACGAGUUGCAGCUGCAGGUGCGGCGGUGGCAGCAGACCACGGGGACGCUGCAGCAGCCCCCGCAGCAGCCGUAGCAGCAGGGGCAGCAGCUGGUGCAGCAGCCCACCCGGUAGCACCUGCAGCUGUUGCAGCCGCCGCAGCUGCCGCCGCAGCCGCCACCGCAGCCGCCGCCACAGCUGCCGCCGCAGCCGCCGCAGCCCCCGCCGCAGCCCCCGCCGCAGCCGCCACAACUUCCACAACCACAGCAGCCCAUGGUGUCGGUAGAGAGGACUCUGAGUAGAGAGGAGAGGUGAGCAGGGAGACUCAGGAGGUGAAGAGGGUCUGAUGCCUGCCUCCACCGAGGGCCCCUUAAAUACCAUCUCUGGGGAGAGAAGUGACCUAAGCCUCGAGGUCACGUCCCUGCUGUUGAUGCAGAUACCCAGAGUGGAAUCUCACAUGGCCUUGUGUACUUCCUUAGUGGAUCCUUCUCACUUAAAAAACUUGCUAAAUUUAGCUUUCUCUUGUCUUUUUAAAGCCAUCUUUAAAAAUAGAACAGGAAACAACUAUUAACCCCCUUUUCUCUCUAGGGAGUUGUAAAGGUCUGAAUGGACCAGAAUUCUUUGGCUGCUUUUACAUCUCUCAGCCCUGUCAGCCCAGGACAGAGAUUGUUCAUUCCCGAUUACCAGGUUGGAAAAACAUUGUUUCAGGGGAACAUUUUGAACUUGAAAGGGAAAUGGGAUUCCCGGUCACAUUAUUUCAUCCUGGGAUAAUUCCUCAUCCUCUACCGCAGGUUAGGACUCUGAUUCAGAAGAGAAUAGUCCUGUGUUAUCAGGGGUUACUCCAGGACAUGCUUUCAGUUAUGUCAGAUGAUAGAAGCACAUCCUAAG
rnacentral:lncRNA from 1 species